rnacentral:rRNA from 1 species
AGCGAACGCUGGCGGCAGGCCUAACACAUGCAAGUCGAACGAAGUCUUCGGACUUAGUGGCGGACGGGUGAGUAACACGUGGGAACGUACCUUUUGGUUCGGAACAACUCAGGGAAACUUGAGCUAAUACCGGAUGAGCCCUUAGGGGGAAAGAUUUAUCGCCGAAAGAGCGGCCCGCGUUAGAUUAGCUAGUUGGUGAGGUAAAGGCUCACCAAGGCUACGAUCUAUAGCUGGUCUGAGAGGAUGAUCAGCCACACUGGGACUGAGACACGGCCCAGACUCCUACGGGAGGCAGCAGUGGGGAAUCUUGCGCAAUGGGCGAAAGCCUGACGCAGCCAUGCCGCGUGAAUGAUGAAGGUCUAGGGAUUGUAAAAUUCUUUUACCAGGGACGAUAAUGACGGUACCUGGAGAAAAAGCCCCGGCUAACUUCGUGCCAGCCGCCGCAGUAACAC